rnacentral:lncRNA from 1 species
GCAAAAGAAAGAAAUAUAAUUGGGCCAUAGAUUACUGGCCACAACAUACUUUAAUAAUCCGUUGAACACUUAGGGUAUGAACGGUGACCAGAGAAUGACGAGGAAUAAUGCAUUCUUUAACGUUUUUUUUUUAUUUCUUUUUUUGUAGAGAAUUAAAGAACAAAAGUAUUCCUUGUUAAAAUUGAUAAGGAAUAACCAUUCUUUUUUAUUCAUACUAUUUUAUUUCCGAACAUUCAUUUUUUAUUUGUUCCUUUUGUUUCCCGAAUGGUCACCAAUCAGACCCUAAGUAAAUUGGAACAUUGAACUAUGUUAUGCCUCGAGUAGAACGGGAUACUCUCUAUUAGUUUUCCGAUCACUUUCUUUUAAUCAAAAGGGAUAAAAGGACGUGUAUUAGUUCAUAUAGCCCAACAUGAAGCUUUUUUGUACAUUCUUGUUUAACGCCUUUAUGGCCGAAUAGAUCACAAGGGACCCAUGUCAACAACUAUGCAAUAUCAAUUGGUCGAUAAUUAUGAUGUUUAU